GACGAACGCUGGCGGCGUGCUUAACACAUGCAAGUCGAACGGAAAGGCCCUGCUUUUGUGGGGUGCUCGAGUGGCGAACGGGUGAGUAACACGUGAGUAACCUGCCCUUGACUUUGGGAUAACUUCAGGAAACUGGGGCUAAUACCGGAUAGGAGCUCCUGCUGCAUGGUGGGGGUUGGAAAGUUUCGGCGGUUGGGGAUGGACUCGCGGCUUAUGAGCUUGUUGGUGGGGUAGUGGCUUACCAAGGCUUUGACGGGUAGCCGGCCUGCGAGGGUGACCGGCCACAUUGGGACUGGGAUACGGCCCAGACUCCUACGGGAGGCAGCAGUGGAGAGUAUUGCACAAUGGGAGGAAGCCUGAUCCAGCAACGCCGCGUGCGGGAUGACGGCCUUCGGGUUGUAAACCGCUUUCGCCUGUGACGAAGCGUGAGUGACGGUAAUGGGUAAAGAAGCACCGGCUAACUACGUG
rnacentral:rRNA from 1 species